UGCCGUCAAACGCUCAUCAUAUGUUAACCCACUCAUUCCUGGGAUCAUUCUCAUAAACCUCCUCUGGACCCUCCAAUGCCAGCAUAUCCUUCCUCAGUUGUGGAGCCCAAAACUACUCACAAUACUGCUGAUGUG